rnacentral:rRNA from 1 species
UAACGGCGAGUGAAGCGGCAACAGCUCAAAUUUGAAAUCUGGCCCUAGGCCCGAGUUGUAAUUUGCAGAGGAUGCUUCGGACGCGGCGCCUUCCAAGUCCCCUGGAACGGGGCGCCUUAAAGGGUGAGAGCCCCGUACGGUUGGAUGCCAAGUCUGUGUGAAGCUCCUUCGACGAGUCGAGUAGUUUGGGAAUGCUGCUCAAAAUGGGAGGUAGACCCCUUCUAAAGCUAAAUACCGGCCAGAGACCGAUAGCGCACAAGUAGAGUGAUCGAAAGAUGAAAAGCACUUUGAAAAGAGGGUUAAAUAGCACGUGAAAUUGUUGAAAGGGAAGCGCUUGUGACCAGACUUGCGCCGGGGCGAUCAUCUAGCGUUCUCGCUGGUGCACUCGCCCCGGUUCAGGCCAGCGUCGGUUUGGACGGGGGGACAAAGACUUUGGGAAUGUGGCUCCCCCGGGAGUGUUAUAGCCCUUUGUGUAAUGCCCCCGACCAGACCGAGGUUCGCGCUCUGCAAGGACGCUGGCAUAAUGGUCAUCAGCGACCCGUCUUGAAACACGGACCAAGGAGUCGAGGUUCUGCGCGAGUGUUUGGGUGUCAAACCCGCACGCGUAAUGAAAGUGAACGUAGGUGGGAGCUUCGGCGCACCACCGACCGAUCCUGAUGUUCUCGGAUGGAUUUGAGUAAGAGCGUUGGGCCUCGGACCCGAAAGAUGGUGAACUAUGCUUGGAUAGGGUGAAGCCAGAGGAAACUCUGGUGGAGGCUCGCAGCGGUUCUGACGUGCAAAUCGAUCGUCAAAUCUGAGCAUGGGGCGAAAGACUAAUCG